GGAGUCUGGUCACCCUGUAGAGGACUUGGAUUACAGUUUCUCUAAACUGAAAAGGACUUUAGAAAUGAUCUAUAAAGCCCCUUAUCACACAUAGACUUGGAGAAAUUAUCUCAUGGUGUACAGAAUCAAGGUGGCUUAUCUCCAGAAGGAAAGGGUACAAGGCCAGACAAGGAGGCCAGUGGAAGGCUGUUGUGAGGGGCCAGCAUCCAGGUGAGAGAUGCUAGCCCAGAAGGUAAGGGUGGUGGCAGGGGAAAGAUGAUCGGGGUCAGAUUCUGUCUAUGUUUUGAAGGCAGAACCAAGAGGAUUUUCUGGCAGACCAGGUAGGAUGUGAAAGAGAAGAGUUGAGGAUGACUCCAAGAUUUUUUAACCCAGUAAACAGUCUCAAAUCUUAAAGACCGUGUUUAAGAAAUAUUUCACUUGAGUCAUUUGUGGGAAAAUAGAUGCACCUUCAAGCUAUGUUAAAUGAACUAAAUCUGACACACAAGCUUAAAUAUGAGAAACCCAAAUUAUAAAUGAAGAGCAAAAUAAAAGAUAGAUAAUAAGAAAUAGGGAGAGCUUUCUCAAAUGGGAAGGAGGACAAGAGAAGGAGGGCGUGGGGAGGGAGGAGAGGGAAAGGGGAUGAAAAAGGAAUUAAAAUGUGUUACAUACGUGUAUCAACUCCACACAGG
rnacentral:lncRNA from 1 species